GCUCUCCGCGCCUCAGCGAGCGGCCAGGCUGCGGGCGGGGUGGGCUGGCGCUCCUGAUCCACCUGGAACACUUUUGCAAAGACAGACGCGGUUCCUCCUACUUCAGAGCAAGUCUGGGCCAGCUGGGAUCCGACCAGAAAUCGCAAGCGGAGGAGACGCAGUAGCGCAGGCUGAGCGCUAACUGAAGGCGCGACCUGAGCCCGGCGCCUGCUGGGGAGCUGCGCAGCCAGGACAGCGGUCGGCAGCACAGGGCCUGGGCGCAGGGCCCGCCGUCACCACCUCACGUCGGAAGCCAGCACUGCUGCCCGCCAGCCCUGCCGCCUGCCCUCGGACUUCCCAGGGCGCCCAGGGUCCUCCCAACGCGCCUGCACCCACACCCGCCCCUGAGCCACAGUGACCUUGCAUUCCCCGCCCCCUGCCACACCUCCUGCGUGCCCGAGUGUCACCCUUAAAUACCGCUCUACACCCAGAGAGGGACGAAUACACCUCUGAAGACAGGGCAAGACUAAUUUCAAUGGGUCAGAAGGUUCUUGCAGGCACUGUUUUAUUUAAGAGUGCCUAUUUACUGGCAGGAGUAUUUGUGUGGGAGGAAGUAGGCUAAGACUGCUGUUGAACUUGAAGCUAAACUUGAAUGCCAUUUAAAAUAACAAUAAAAAUAUACUUAAAACACCAA